GGAGGGUAUAGCUCAAGUGGUAGAGCACAUGCUUAGAAUGCAUGAGGUCCUGGGUUCAAUCCCCAGUGCCUCCU
rnacentral:tRNA from 1 species